UCCGGCACCAACAGCAGCGCCGCUGCCACCGCCCACCUUCUGCCGCCGCCACCACAGCCACCUUCUCCUCCUCCGCUGUCCUCUCCCGUCCUCGCCUCUGUCGACUAUCAGGUGAGCUUUGAACCAGGAUGGCUGAGCCCCGCCAGGAGUUCGAAGUGAUGGAAGAUCACGCUGGGACGUACGGGUUGGGGGACAGGAAAGAUCAGGGGGGCUACACCAUGCACCAAGACCAAGAGGGUGACACGGACGCUGGCCUGAAAGCUGAAGAAGCAGGCAUUGGAGACACCCCCAGCCUGGAAGACGAAGCUGCUGGUCACGUGACCCAAGCUCGCAUGGUCAGUAAAAGCAAAGACGGGACUGGAAGCGAUGACAAAAAAGCCAAGGGGGCUGAUGGUAAAACGAAGAUCGCCACACCGCGGGGAGCAGCCCCUCCAGGCCAGAAGGGCCAGGCCAACGCCACCAGGAUUCCAGCAAAAACCCCGCCCGCUCCAAAGACACCACCCAGCUCUGGUGAACCUCCAAAAUCAGGGGAUCGCAGCGGCUACAGCAGCCCCGGCUCCCCAGGCACUCCCGGCAGCCGCUCCCGCACCCCGUCCCUUCCAACCCCACCCACCCGGGAGCCCAAGAAGGUGGCGGUGGUCCGUACUCCACCCAAGUCGCCGUCUUCCGCCAAGAGCCGCCUGCAGACAGCCCCCGUGCCCAUGCCAGACCUGAAGAACGUCAAGUCCAAGAUCGGCUCCACUGAGAACCUGAAGCACCAGCCGGGAGGCGGGAAGGAGGUGGCCAGGUGGAAGUAAAAUCUGAGAAGCUUGACUUCAAGGACAGAGUCCAGUCGAAGAUUGGGUCCCUGGACAAUAUCACCCACGUCCCUGGCGGAGGAAAUAAAAAG
rnacentral:sRNA from 1 species